rnacentral:rRNA from 1 species
UCCUCUGACACCCUAGAGAUAGGGCGUUUCCCUUCGGGGGAACAGAGUGACAGGUGGUGCAUGGUUGUCGUCAGCUCGUGUCGUGAGAUGUUGGGUUAAGUCCCGCAACGAGCGCAACCCUUGAUCUUAGUUGCCAGCAUUCAGUUGGGCACUCUAAGGUGACUGCCGGUGACAAACCGGAGGAAGGUGGGGAUGACGUCAAAUCAUCAUGCCCCUUAUGACCUGGGCUACACACGUGCUACAAUGGAUGGAACAAAGGGUCGCGAAGCCGCGAGGUCGAGCCAAUCCCAUAAAUCCAUUCUCAGUUCGGAUUGCAGGCUGCAACUCGCCUGCAUGAGCC